AUUGAACGCUGGCGGCAGGCCUAACACAUGCAAGUCGAACGAGUGGCGGACGGGUGAGUAAUGUCUGGGAAACUGCCCGAUGGAGGGGGAUAACUACUGGAAACGGUAGCUAAUACCGCAUACCAUCGGAUGUGCACAGAUGGGAUAAGCGAGUAGGUGAGGUAACGGCUCACCUAGGCGACGAUCCCUAGCUGGUCUGAGAGGAUGACCAGCGACACGGGGAUGGAGAAACGGCCCAGACUCAGAUGGGAGGCAGCAGUGGGGAAUAUUGCACAAUGGGCGCAAGCCUGAUGCAGCCAUGCCGCGUGUAUGAAGAAGGCCUUCGGGUUGUAAAGUACUUUCAGCGAGGAGGCGUUACUCGCAGAAGAAGCACCGGCUAACUCCGUGCCAGCAGCCGCGGUAAUAC
rnacentral:rRNA from 1 species